GUGUGCGAUCAUACCAGCGUUAAUGCACCAGAUCCCAUCAGAACUAUGCAGUUAAGCGCGCUUGGGAUAGAGUAGUACUGGGAUGGGUGACCUCCCGUGAAGUCCUAGUGUUGCACCCU
rnacentral:rRNA from 1 species